GACGAACGCUGGCGGCGUGCUUAACACAUGCAAGUCGAACGGAAAGGCCCUGCUUUUGUGGGGUGCUCGAGUGGCGAACGGGUGAGUAACACGUGAGUAACCUGCCCUUGACUUUGGGAUAACUUCAGGAAACUGGGGCUAAUACCGGAUAGGAGCUCCUGCUGCAUGGUGGGGGUUGGAAAGUUUCGGCGGUUGGGGAUGGACUCGCGGCUUAUCAGCUUGUUGGUGGGGUAGUGGCGUACCAAGGCUUUGACGGGUAGCCGGCCUGAGAGGGUGACCGGCCACAUUGGGACUGAGAUACGGCCCAGACUCCUACGGGAGGCAACAGUGGAGAAUAGUGCACAAUGGGCGGAAGCCUGAUGCAGCAACGCCGCGUGCGGGAUGACGGCCUGCGGGUAGUAAACCGCUUUCGCCUGUGACGAAGCGUGAGUGACGGUAAUGGGUAAAGAAGCACCGGCUAACUACGUG
rnacentral:rRNA from 1 species